GUUGGAGACUGACUGUAGCACUAUCAUCACAGACUGCAUUCAAAGACUUUCACCAUGACUGUUAUAACCAGCCUGCUUCUGAUUACAGUCUUCUUUACAAGUGUUGAAGGUCAGACACUGACUGAGUCUGAACCAGCAGUUAAAAAGCCUGGACAAUCUCACAAACUGACCUGUACAGCCUCUGGGUUCACAUUCAGCAGCUACUGGAUGGGCUGGAUCAGACAGGCUCCUGGGAAGGGGCUGGAGUGGAUCUCAAUCAUUGAAUAUGACAGUGAUAGGAAAUACUACUCUAAGUCUGUUCAAGGAAGAUUCACAAAUAGCAGAGACAACAGCAAGAACCAGCUGUAUUUACACAUGAGCAGCCUGACAGCUGAAGACACUGCUGUGUAUUACUGUGCCAGUGCUGGUUAA